rnacentral:rRNA from 1 species
UACGAAGGGGGCUAGCGUUGCUCGGAAUCACUGGGCGUAAAGGGUGCGUAGGCGGGUUAUUAAGUCAGAGGUGAAAUCCUGGAGCUCAACUCCAGAACUGCCUUUGAUACUGAUAGUCUUGAGUAUGGGAGAGGUGAGUGGAACUGCGAGUGUAGAGGUGAAAUUCGUAGUUAUUCGCAAGAACACCAGUGGCGAAGGCGGCUCACUGGCCCAUUACUGACGCUGAGGCACGAAAGCGUGGGGAGCAAACAGG